rnacentral:rRNA from 1 species
UACGUAGGUGGCAAGCGUUGUCCGGAUUUACUGGGCGUAAAGGGAGCGUAGGCGGACUUUUAAGUGGGAUGUGAAAUACCCGGGCUUAACCUGGGUGCUGCAUUCCAAACUGGGAGUCUAGAGUGCAGGAGGGGAAAGUGGAAUUCCUAGUGUAGCGGUGAAAUGCGUAGAGAUUAGGAAGAACACCAGUGGCGAAGGCGACUUUCUGGACUGUAACUGACGCUGAGGCUCGAAAGCGUGGGGAGCGAAC